rnacentral:rRNA from 1 species
GCGCGAAUACUCCGCAAUGCGGGCAACCGCGACGGGGCUACCCCGAGUGCCGGGCGAAGAGCCCGGCUUUUGCCCGGUCUAAAAAGCCGGGCGAAUAAGCGGGGGGCAAGUCUGGUGUCAGCCGCCGCGGUAAUACCAGCUCCGCGAGUGGUCGGGGUGUUUACUGGGCUUAAAGCGCCCGUAGCCGGCCCGGUAAGUCGCUCCUGAAAUCCCCGGGCUCAACCCGGGGGCGGGGGGCGAUACUGCCGG